AUAGAACACAUGGACGCCCUGCCACAUAGACUCAUAGAAUCAUAGAAUGGCCUGGGUUGAAAAGGACCACAAUGAUCAUCGAGUUUCAACCCCCCUGCUAUGUUCAGGGUCGCCAACCACCAGACCAGGCUGCCCAGAGCCACAUCCAGCCUGGCCUUGAAUGCCUCCAGGGAUGGGGCAUCCACAGCCUCCUUGGGCAACCUGUUCCAGGAAGACAACUUUACUGUAUUGUCAGCAUUUUAUGAUUUCCUUUGCAGAAACAUCUGAUUUGUUCCAGGAAAUCACAUGCAGAUACAGCGCUUCCCUUCACAGCAACCAGAUGCAUGUUUUGAAUUGACACAGGCAGUUUAUCCAUAUUCCUGGACUGCUAAGCACUACUUUCAGCAACUCUCAGGGCUAGAACUCAUUCCCUGGGAAAUUUCUUUCCUGAUGAAUCUUCAAGAUUUACCAGCAGGAGUGCAGAUCUGAGAUAAAACGACCCAUCUUUGUAAGAAAUCUCUUUCUGGAGUUGACCUCAGGGAAACAAACACUAAUUCAUCUUGCUUGUGCUACAUGUCUACUUUAUUUGAAAAUAUAACUUUCUGUAUUCAUUCUUCCCCCCCUGAGUCCUACCUAUAUCCUCAGUGCCUGUGCACAGUUCAAAUUCCCUUGCAGUGCGUCUGCUGGUUUUCUUUCCUGAAAGAACCUGUUAAGCAUUUUUUAAUGCUGCGUUUUCCUUUCAUUGUGGG
ensembl:lncRNA